GAAAUGAAAUACAUGUUUGGAGAUGCACCGAUUACAAUUUUCUAGGCCAAUUCUGAUUUCCGAUUUUUCCUUGAGUUUGACCUGCCUAUACCGAUUUUAGCCGAUUCCGAU